CGCUUGCAUUCUGUCAAUGAGUGCAUGAGACUAUUUUUAAUGCCUACGAUACAAUGGGAGAGAUGAUGAUGAUGAUGAUGAUGAUAGUGAUAGUCAAGUGGCCUACAACGAUUUGCCAAAGGUCCACAAGCUUCGGUCCAAAAUAAGGUCCAUAGAAACGCAUUGGGCUUAUUUAGUACAGAUUUAGGCUAAAGUGAAACCUCUCGCUUCGCCCCUUCUCUGUCUUAGAGCAACAACAAUCAGCAAACAGUCGGUGGUUGGAUUUGAAUAACGUUUAUUGAAAAAGUAUGGUUAGAGGCGAUCAACCAUUUAGCAAGUCGGACAUUUCCGAGUUUCCUAGUUCCGACUAGCACUUGAACGCGGCAUAAAUCAUGGACAAAAAUGUACUCUCGAAAAAACGAUCAGUAUUUUUUUGUAACAUGGUUCCAAUAAUGAAAAUGGAAGAUCUUUCAAAUUGAUCACCUGACAAUAGUUCAACAAAUCUCUACCCGCUUGAGGAAAAUAGACUCAUCAUCACUUAAUUUAGUAGUGAUGUUUGGUCUUUGGAGGUUUAGUUUAGAAGGUUUCGUUUUCUUUCAGGAGUGCUUUCGUAAAUUAGUUUAUUUUUAGAUUAGAUAUAUUAACACCGUGUUACAGUUGUAGGGUGCCAUAUUGCCUGGAUUAGAGGAAUUUGCACUUGCAUCUGCGACCGCAGUCGUCCCAGUGGCAGCUGCGUUAGACAAUAGGCGGCAGAGUAUAUAGUCAUGUUGGUAUCCCUCUGCCUGCCUGCUUGCUUGUGUCUCUAUUAACAGACAAGUACCCCGAUCAUCUGGAACCUGAAUUGCUGUUCUGUUUUGUAGCACUACGGAUUCAACUUUCAGAAAGGACAUUAGUACUGGUGAUAUUCUCACAACUGAUGAGUUUUCGGUUGAAGCUCACUAAACACGUUUCCAUCCAACCAUUUUAUCCAGAUGAAUUAUCUGUCCACGAAAAAAGUCACGACCGGGCUGAUGGAAACAUGAAAUGCCGGUACAAUUUAUAAAUGCCGUAGGAUAAUUUGGUCGUUCGACAUGGUAGGAUCUUUAUGUGUCGGUAAAAUUAAUUAUGCGAGUAAUGGCGGUGGAAACGCCUUUAUGCGCAAAUAUUGAUAAACACAUUAAUAACCAUCAUAUCGAAGCAAACUUGGAGUCACGCGAUGUUAUGUUGUGUGGUCCUACCACUACGACUUGGGAAAACAUGCAGUUUAUUAGGCUACAGAUGAAAUAAAUGAUGAUGAACUUCACAGGGUGGUGAAUGUGCAAGGUAAUGAGCUUGGAAUAAAUAUCGAGGGUAUUAUUGUCACGUUCUGACCAGUAAAGGGGUUAUUUGUUAUUGUAGUUUGGUCAGGACGUGGCAGGGGGGUAUUUGUUUUAUGUGGUUCGGGGUUUGUUAGUAUAUGUGUUUAUGUAGAGGGGUGUUUGGUUAGAGUAUUCCGGGGUUGGGUUAUGUUCUUUAUUUCGUAUUUCUAUGUUGUGUCUAUGUUGUGUAUUUCUUUGUUGGCCUGGUAUGGCUCUCAAUCAGGAACAGCUGUACAUCGUUGUUGCUGAUUGAGAGUCAUACUUAGGUAGCCUGUUUUCACCUGUCCCUUUGUGGGAAGUUGUGGUUGCAUAGCUGUGUGUUUUAGCCUGCAAUCCUGUUCGUGCGAUCGUUUUGUUUGUGUUCAAUAAAAGUCAUUAUGAGCACUCAACUUGCUGCGCCUUGGUCCACUACGUAUGACGACCGUUACAAUUAUUCUGGUGACAUGAUCGAUGCUUGGCUGCCGUUUGACAAAUACAAAUAAUAUCUCUCUUAUCCAUAAUAAUCUCAUAAUGUAGGUAGCCUUCCCGCAAUUUAUCUACGAGCUGUUGGCUAGAAUGCAUGUGCCAAGACCAGAGUGAGGACAUUUGCAAUAUACCAACAGUUUUUGUGGCAAAACCAUCAGGAGAGUUAAAAAUGUGAUGGAAACCCAUUUAAUUUCUAUUUUUCAUUCUAUAUAUGGGAAUUUAACUGUCAAAGUUAUUUUUAUGUGCACUACGUCAUCACGCACAUGCUUUUAUCCGCAAACAGUAAUUUAAUGUAAACACAUGGUGGGAAAAUGCUCAUAUUGUUUUAGGUAGAUGAGAAUAUUCGCAUGAAAAUCUGUUGCAAUUUAGAUGGAAACCUAGCUAUAAUUUGGAUGGAAACCUAGCCAUAUUUUCACCUUUUGCUAACUGUGUGUUUGGUUUUACCUUCCUUGUGGGGACCAGAAGUCCUCACAAGUAUAGUAAAACAAAACAAUAUGAGCUGGUCCACACAAGGAAAAAGGCUAUUUAGCUAUAGUUAGAGUUAGGAUUUUAAUUUACAUGUUUUUAUUUAACUAAGUAAGUCAGUUAAAAACAAAUUCUUAUUUACAAUGACGGCAUAGGCCGGGGGCCAAACCCAGACGACGCUGGGCCAAUUGUGCGCAACGGCCGGAUGUGAUACAGCCUGGAUUCAAAUCAGGGACUGUAAUGACACCUCUUGCACUGAGAUGCAUUGCCUUAGACUGCUGCGCCACUUGGGGAGCCACUUGGGGUUAGAGGUUAUGGAAAAUAGUAUUUUGAAUGGGAAUCAAUUCUUUGGUCCCCACAAGAAUAGUAAAUCAAACAUGUGUGUGUGUGUUUGAAAAAUCUGAUUUGGAAUGCUGCCACACUAGAAGAAGAAGCAAGGAACAACCUACUGUCAAGUCCAAAAUGAUUUACACCCUUGAUAAAGAUUAGUAAAAAAUACUGUAUAAAAUAAAUAAUAAAAAUACUGAGCUAUACUGUAUGCUCCAAAAAAUUGGGAAAUUGUAUUAUUUUAUAAUAAUACAAUUGCGCAGAGAAAGAGGUUUUGUUUAAAAAGUAAUCUUUUUUUCUUCUAAAAAAGAUAGGGGUCAAAAUUAUUUGCACCCGUUUUCAAUAUCUUUCAAUAUACCUCACCUUGCGAGCUAACGGCACUGAGCCUUUUUCAAUAUACAUGGAGAACACUUUGUGCUUGGGGUUAUUGUCUUGCUUGAAUAUCCACUUGUGGCCAAGAUUUAGCCUCCCGGCAGAGACAACCAGGUUUUUGGCUAAAAUGUCCUGGUACUGGGUAAAGAUCAUGAUGCUGUUAACUUUAACUAGGGCCCCAGGAUCCACCACCAUAUUUUACAGUAAGUAUGGAGUUAUUUUCUGCCUAUCAAAUCCUUUCGUCGCCAAACCCACUACUGGUGUGCGUGGCCAAAGAGCUCCAUUUUCAUGUCAUCAGACCAUACCACUGGUUUCAAUCCAAGUGCCAAUGUCGUUAGCAAACUCCAGGCGUUUACAUUUGUUGGGUGACGUGAAAAUAAAACUCUUUAGCCAUGUACACCAGUGGUGGGUUGGCGCCUCCCAUUGGGUUGUGCCGUGGCGGAGAUCUUUGUGGGCUAUACUCGGCCUUGUCUCAGGAUGGUAAGUUGGUGGUUGGAGAUAUCCCUCUAGUGGUGUGGGGGCUGUGCUUUGGCAAAGCGGGUGGGGUUAUAUCCUGCCUGUUUGGCCCUGUCGGGGGGUAUCGUCGGACGGGGCCACAGUGUCUCCCAACCCCUCCUGUCUCAGCCUCCAGUAUUUAUGCUGCAGUAGUUUGUGUCGGGGAGCUAGGGUCAGUCUGUUAUAUCUGGAGUAUUUCUCCUUUAUUAUCUGGUGUCCUGUGUGAAUUUAAGUAUGCUCUCUCUAAUUCUUUCUCUCUCUCGGGGGACCUGAGCCCUAGGACCAUGCCUCAGGACUACCUGGCCUGAUGACUCCUUGCUGUCCCCAGUCCACCUGGCCGUGCUGCUGCUCCAGUUUCAACUUUUAUUUUUAUUUCACCUUUAUUUAACCAGUUCGUUCCAGUCAUUGGCAGCAGAGAACUGGAAGGAGAGACGGCCAAAGGAGGAAUUGGCUUUGGGGGUGACCAGAGAGAUAUAACUGUUCUGCCUGCGGCCAUGGAACCCUGACCUGUUCACCGGACGUGCUACCUGUCCCAGACCUGCUGUUUUCAACUCUCUAGAGACAGCAGGAGCGGUAGAGAUACUCUGAAUGAUCGGCUAUGAAAAGCCAACUGACAUUUACUCCUGAGGUGCUGACCUGUUGCACCCUCGACAACCACUGUGAUUAUUAUUAUUUGACCCUGCUGGUCAUCUAUGAACAUUUGAACAUUUUGGCCAUGUUCUGUUAUAAUCUCCACCUGGCACAGCCAGAAGAGGACUGGCCCAUCCCCUCAUAGCCUGGUUCCUCUCUAGGUUUCUUCCUAGGUUUUGGCCUUUCUAGGGAGUUUUUCCUAGCCACCGUGCUUCUACACCUGCAUUGCUUGCUGUUUGGGGUUUUAGGCUGGGUUUCUGUACAUAACUUUGAGAUAUCAGCUGAUGUAAGAAGGGCUUUAUAAAUUGAUUUGAUUUGGUGGGUUUGGCGUCGAAAGAAGGAUGUGAGAAGCAGAAAAUAACCCCAAACCUACUGUAAAAUAUGGUGUUGGAUCUUUUGGACCAGACUGUAGGUUGUGUCCUUCAGAGUUGUAGUCAGUGAGGGGAAGGAAGGUUACUGUUGUGGUUUAUUUAAUUGGUAAAUGCUCAUCCCCACCCGGCACAGCCAGAAGAGGACCCUCAGAGCCUGGUUCCUCUCUAGGUUUCAUCCUAGGUUCCGGCCUUUAUAGGGAGUUUUUCCUAGCCACCGUGCUUCUACAUCGGCAUUGCUUGCUAUUUGGGGUUUUAUGCUGGGUUUCUGUACAGCACUUUGUGACAUCUGCUGAUGUAAUAAGGGCUUUAUAAAUACAUUUGAUUGAUAUAAUGUGAGGCCAUUGAUAUUUCUGUUUUUAUUUUCCUCGUUUUUUCCUGUGAAGCGCAUUGCACUGCAUUCAUGUCUGAAAUGUUCUAUAUAAAUCAAGCUUAUUUUUGAUUUGAUACUGAUGGAAUGCCACGAUAGUGCAAACAGUUCCCUUUUACGUAUCACAAACAAUGCUUAUUAAAUAUUUAAUGUAUGAUGAACAUUCAUGUUUUUGAUGAAUUAACUGUUUUACUGUUUUGAGUAGGAUGUCUGCUCACGGUACAGUUGUUUGUAUAUCCUUUUCAAACCAAUAUUAAAGCAUUAGAUGUCAUCCCCCUGGGGUUAUUAGCCCAGUAUGUGACAGCAACAUUGGCAGAGUGGGAGUUAGUGCUUUUCAAAGCACUCUGGUGAUAAGAGAAACUUACAUUCCAUUCACCUGUCCUUUACUUUCAUGUGGUGUCAACCUUUCUUGUCAAAUUGACUGACAUGAUUGAAUUGUAUGAAUGUUUAUUGUAUGGAAAAAGGUGGCGACUGAAUUUCAAGAAUGUGGGAGGUAUUGUUCAUGGCGUGAGAUUAUUGUGUGAUAAAUCCGUAGAGCGCCUUGCCAAAGUAGAGGGCCAAAUGAAAAUUGACGACAGACCAUUAACACCAUAGAAUGUGCCCAAGGCUCCUAUGGCCCCAAUCACGCAGUAGCUCCUAAACGAUUAACACCAUACUGCAUGUGUGUGAAAAGCCUGUGAAUAGACCUGUGCUCUGUUUCAAUGAAAGGUCUUCAUUUGACCUGGCCAAUAAUCACAAAGACAACAUAUUCCUAAACCAUUUUCUUUCACCAUUUCACCGCCCAAUUUUAAUUUAGUUGAACAUGUCUUUAAAGAUAUUAAUUAAAGUCUCGAUCUAUGGUUCAUCUUAAGCAGGGUGUAUACAUGUAAUGAGAAAGGGAGCGAAUGAGAGAGAUAACAAGCAUGUUUUUGUGUCAGGGAAUGAAAACUAUCCCCCUCUGUUUUAUUGAUUUCUAUUCAAGAGGUGAUCAGCAUGGUGCCUGCCAUGUUUUGAUCUGCAGG
rnacentral:lncRNA from 1 species